AGCUCCAAUAGCGUAUAUUAAAGUUGUUGCGGUUAAAAAGCUCGUAGUUGGAUUUCUGUUGAGGUCGGUCGGUGUGCACCUCGUGCAUUAUUUGAUUCGGUCUCGGCAUCCUCCUGGGGAACGUUUAGGACUUUAUUGGACUAGGCGAGAUUCAGGACUUUUACUUUGAGGAAAUUAGAGUGUUCACGGCAAGCAAGCGCGGGAAUACAUUAGCAUGGAAUAAUAAUAUAGGACCUUCGUUCUAUUUUGUUGGUUUCUAGAACUUAGGUAAUGAUUAAUAGGGACAAUUGGGGGCAUUCGUAUUAACGCGUCAGAGGUGGAAUUCUUGGAUUGCGUUACGACGAACUACUGCGAAAGCAUUUGCCAAAGAUGUUUUCA
rnacentral:rRNA from 1 species